GAUGAACGCUAGCGGCAGGCUUAACACAUGCAAGUCGAGGGGUAGUUAUCUUCGGAUAAUGAGACCGGCGCACGGGUGCGUAACGCGUAUGCAAUCUACCUUAUACAGGGGGAUAGCCCAGAGAAAUUUGGAUUAAUACCCCAUAGUAUUACGAAAUCGCAUGGUUUUGUAAUUAAAGUUCCAACGGUAUAAGAUGAGCAUGCGUCCCAUUAGCUAGUUGGUGUGGUAACGGCACACCAAGGCAACGAUGGGUAGGGGUCCUGAGAGGGAGAUCCCCCACACUGGUACUGAGACACGGACCAGACUCCUACGGGAGGCAGCAGUGAGGAAUAUUGGUCAAUGGGCGCAAGCCUGAACCAGCCAUGCCGCGUGCAGGAUGACGGUCCUAUGGAUUGUAAACUGCUUUUGUACAGGAAGAAACACUCCCUCGUGAGGGAGCUUGACGGUACUGUAAGAAUAAGGAUCGGCUAACUCCGUGCCAGCAGCCGCGGUAAUACGGAGGAUCCAAGCGUUAUCCGGAAUCAUUGGGUUUAAAGGGUCCGUAGGCGGUUUUAUAAGUCAGUGGUGAAAUCUGGUCGCUCAACGAUCAAACGGCCAUUGAUACUGUAGAACUUGAAUUACUUGGAAGUAACUAGAAUAUGUAGUGUAGCGGUGAAAUGCUCAGAGAUUACAUGGAAUACCAAUUGCGAAGGCAGGUUACUACAAGUGGAUUGACGCUGAUGGACGAAAGCGUGGGGAGCGAACAGGAUUAGAUACCCUGGUAGUCCACGCCGUAAACGAUGGAUACUAGCCGUUUGGAGCAAUCUGAGUGGCUAAGCGAAAGUGAUAAGUAUCCCACCUGGGGAGUACGCUCGCAAGAGUGAAACUCAAAGGAAUUGACGGGGGCCCGCACAAGCGGAGGAGCAUGUGGUUUAAUUCGAUGAUACGCGAGGAACCUUACCAAGGCUUAAAUGGGAAACGACAGGUUUGGAAACAGACUUUUCUUCGGACGUUUUUCAAGGUGCUGCAUGGUUGUCGUCAGCUCGUGCCGUGAGGUGUCAGGUUAAGUCCUAUAACGAGCGCAACCCCUGUUGUUAGUUGCCAGCGAGUCAAGUCGGGAACUCUAACAAGACUGCCAGUGCAAACUGUGAGGAAGGUGGGGAUGACGUCAAAUCAUCACGGCCCUUACGCCUUGGGCUACACACGUGCUACAAUGGACGGUACAGAGAGCAGCCACUACGCAAGUAGGAGCGAAUCUACAAAACCGUUCUCAGUUCGGAUCGGAGUCUGCAACUCGACUCCGUGAAGCUGGAUUCGCUAGUAAUCGCAGAUCAGCCAUGCUGCGGUGAAUACGUUCCCGGGCCU
rnacentral:rRNA from 1 species